GUCCCAGUUCGGACUGGAGUCUGNAACCCGACUCCACGAAGUUGGAUUCGCUAGUAAUCGCGCAUCAGCCAUGGCGCGGUGAAUACGUUCCCGGGCCUUGUACACACCGCCCGUCAAGCCAUGGAGCCGGGGCGCCUGAAGUCCGGGACCGCGAGGACCGGCCUAGGGCGAAACUGGUGACUGGGGCUAAGUCGUAACAAGGUACC
rnacentral:rRNA from 1 species